rnacentral:hammerhead_ribozyme from 1 species
AUCCAGCUGACGAGUCCCAAGUGGGACGAAAUGCACAUUCUGCAU